UACGUAGGGUGCGAGCGUUAAUCGGAAUUACUGGGCGUAAAGCGUGCGCAGGCGGUUCGCCAAGUCAGAUGUGAAAGCCCCGGGCUCAACCUGGGAACUGCAUUUGAAACUGGCGGGCUUGAGUGUGGCAGAGGGGGGUGGAAUUCCGCGUGUAGCAGUGAAAUGCGUAGAGAUGCGGAGGAACACCGAUGGCGAAGGCAGCCCCCUGGGCCAACACUGACGCUCAGGCACGAAAGCGUGGGGAGCAAACAGG
rnacentral:rRNA from 1 species